UAAACAUGCUUCCACAGUUUGCCAUUGUGCAAUUGCAGUUUCAUGAUCACAUGUUACCUGUUUAUAGAUUGUCAACAACACAUCCAGCAUCUCAGAUUGUGAAUAUGUCUGAAGUAUGAGCAGAAGUCAAUAGUCAAUUUGAAAAUAAUAAAAAAAAAACAAAAUUCAAAAAUGUUGAUACGUAGAAGAAGAGUGUUUUGUUUUUUUAUAAAGGUUUAAAAUUACAGAUAUAAAUGUAUCGGUGAGUUGAUGACAUUGAAUAAGAUCAAAACCUAUAUCCAGCCAAGCUGCAGCACAUUUUAAAGCGUGCA